GCACAGGCGCCGAGCCUGCUCCUCGGACGCCGCCGCCUGUAGGCGGCCCAGGCGCGUGCCCGGGAAGCGCGCGAGGGCGCGCGCGCUCAGCAGCCGCCGCACUCCGCCCACGUUCACGCGCAGCGCCUCGUCCCUCGGCCGCCAGGGGGCCCGAGAGCCCGGACCCGGAAACUCGCUCACCAUGGCUACACCGCGUGCCUCCCUGUUGGUUAAAAUCCCCGGCUCUAUCCACAGUGCUGAAGACUGUGCGAAGGGCCAGACAUGCAGUAGGUGACCAGAUAUGGAAUACCCCCUGGACUCAAGACAGGCCUGGGUCUGAAUAUCCUUCACCCCCCAGACUGGAUUCUGAAUUUGACACUUGCUAGCUGUUGACCUGAGCAGAUCCGCCACCCUCUGAGCCCUUGGUUCCCUCCUCUGCAGUCUGGACUGCUGCUGGAGAGACUGAAGUGUUUCCGGUAGCGCAGUCCCUGGCCCAUAACCGGCGCAUCAUUUGCAUCUUCUAUCGGCUUUGGCAUCGAAACACACAGUUUUUAGUACACUUCUAUCAUCCAUUUGAAGCCCUGUUUGGGUCAACUUCCCAUCUGCCACGCACUUCCCUGCUCUAUGAAUUACGGCUAAGUUAGCUGCAGGAACAGAAAUGGAUUCCUGGUGGCUUCACUAGAGAGAAGAGCCUGUCUUUUGCAGCAGACACAGCUGCCUAUGAGCAGCGCUGAAGGCUGGCCCACUGGGAAAUCAAGGCAAGUGAGACACAGUCCAACAGUGGAGACAGAUGAACUCUACAUGUGACAUCCCGACCGCUGGAGCACCCUUUCCUGGAUAUGGGACCAUCCAAGUGAUCUUUGCAAGCACUUGGUUACAACGUGAAGCAGCAUGGAAGCCAGGAUGCAUAUUUUGCUGGUGUGAAUGUAUAUACUUCACAUGAACAGAAUGCCUGAGGAGGUCAGAAGAGGGCACAGGAUUCCCUGGAACUGGAGUUACAGAAAGUUGUGAUCCAUUACAUAGGGGCUGGAAACUGACUUGAACCUGGGUCUUCUCUAUGAACCAGUGUUCUAAUUGCUGAGCAAUCAUUUCAGACCCAAUAAUUCAAGUUUCUGGUAUUGAUUAGCAAUUAGAACCUUGUUAAAAACAAAAACAAAAACUUCAAGUCAUAUAUGUCACAGGGUCUUCUAUCGUCAUUGAUGUAGAUGUGACAAAAUUUCCUGACAAGAAGCAGCUUAGGGGAGAAAAACUUGAUUUUUCGCAGUUCCAGUCUACGGUCUGUUGUAGGGCAGUCAAGGCAUCCAGGUGGAAAAGCCAGGACAGGUGUGUUACCUUAUAUUUGCAGUCAGGAACAGAGAGGGAAACACAUAGGUGCUUGCUUCCUUGUGCUCAGCUUUACUUCUCCACUCUUACACAGUUCAGGAUUCACUGCAUAAGGAAUAGUGCUGCCCAUAGUGGGCUGGGUCUUCUCAUAUCAAUAAUGUAAAUAAGACAACCAGCCAUAGACACGUCCACAAGUCAGCCUUAUAUAGAUAAUCAGUCCAUCAUUGAGAUGUCUCAGGUGAUUCUAGGUUGUGUCAGGUUGCCAAGUGAAGCUUGCUAUUACAUCAUCCAUGCUGGUGCUGGGAACUUUUUGUUCUUUUUUUCAUUAUCUCUUCCUCCUUCUUCUCCUC